CUCUUAGGGUGCUGGGCGCUAAGCCAAGAUAUGGAUAAGCUUGGCUUUUGGUUCAAACAAAGCUGCUCUCUCCUCACAGGCCAUCACUUUCAUUUAUUUUGCCCUGUGGUGAAGUUAAUGCUACAUCUGUGAUGUCACGGUUGUUGCCACGACAACAGGUUUAUGACUUCAAUGUAAAGUCAACUGGAAGGAGAAGCUCAGGGACAUGAAGGAAAGUUCUUAUUCAAAUCAGAAACAUCUGACACAGUAACAGAGAAACAGCCAAGAAGCAACCUCCUCAAACACAGACGUCUCUCCAUGGAUUAAGGUGCCACCAAAGUACAGGCUGCAAGGUGGCACUGAUACGGCCCUGUCUUUGUCCAACGUGGGAACCUGCACAGGAGCCGUCCCUUCUGUAGCGGCACCAAGGAAUUCCCAGGAGCAUCUAAAGGUGGAGAUGAUGCCUAAAGGAAGCCUGUGAACUUACCGUCCAUCCUUCUUAGCAAGUCUAAACAUGUAAAUUAGUCAACUCCAAGACCCUGAGAGCCACACUGAAAAUUAGGGUGGAUGGCAAUGCUUGCAGUUUGCUUCACUGAAACUACAUUAUAAUGGUUGCCAAUAAUAAAGCCAUUAAAGUUUCACACAAAAAA